CAGAAUUAUCAUGGCGACGUCGGGAGCGAACUUGCAGCUAGACUCGGAUGGUUUUCCACCAUUUCGACUAAAUGAAUCAAGAUUUGACCAGAACACAUUCUCUGGAAGACUGCGUCACUUUCUAGAUGUUGUUGAUCCAAAGACCCUAUUUACAUCAAAUCAACGUUUAAAGGAAAGUUGUCAGUUGCUGCAGGACUUUCAAAACGGCAAGCUACCUCCUAGUAUUUCAAACAAAGAGUUAUGGGAAGCACAAAAGAUAAAGCAGGCAAUUAUCCAUCCUGAUACUGGUGAAAAAAUAUUCAUGCCAUUUAGGAUGUCUGGUUUUGUUCCUUUUGGAUCCCCAAUUGUUGUUGGUCUUCUCCUUCCCAAUCCCACCAUUAAAGCCACCAUCUUCUGGCAGUGGCUGAAUCAGAGUCAUAAUGCCUGUGUUAACUACUCUAACAGAAAUGCCACGAAGCCAACACCGAUAAGUCGGUUCUUACUAGGGUAUGGUGCAGCCGUGGGUAGUGCAGUUACAAUAGCGGUAAGUCUAGGAGUGAUGAUCAAAAGAGCAAAUGCACUGACACCUUCCAUGAAACUCCUCAUCCAGAGAUUUGUACCUUUUCCAGCAGUUGCCACUGCCAGUGUAUGCAAUGUCAUUUGUAUGAGAAAUAAUGAACUUUCUGAAGGUAUUGAAGUUAUGGACAAGGAAGGGAGGAUAGUAGGAACAUCUCAGAUUGCUGCCAAGAAGGCCCUCCUUGAGACGGCUAUGACAAGGGCUGUGUUACCUGCCCCUAUCCUCAUUAUACCACCUGUUGUUAUGACACAGUUAGAAAAGACUAAGUUUCUCCAGACUCGUCCAAGAUUUCACUUACCCAUUCAUGCUGCAGUAGUAACUGCCUGUUUUGGAUUUGCCUUGCCUGUUGCCAUUGCCUUGUUCCCACAGUUUUCCCAGAUUUCAACAAAAGAUCUUGAAGCCAAACUUCAAGAAGCUACCUCUGAGCCAGCGGUGUACUAUAACAAAGGACUGUGAUUUGAUCCUCUCAGCAAGCUUGUUUUUUCAUGAACCAGGUGGAAAAGACCAGCAUUACACAAAAAUGUAGCAUGGUAUGCAACAGUAGCAAUGAUGUUCGCGGCUCCUGUUGAACUUGCAAAUGCAGGGUGCCGUAAAUAUAUUUUCCUGCUACGUUUUUUCUCCGUAAUGACAAUUUCAAUACCUACUGAUAUAUUUCUACGGUGCUGAAAACACAAUGACAUAUCAGGAAAUUAUGAUUUUCCAUUGUCAGUUAAAAAGUACCUUCAGUGAAUUUUACUCUUGCCAUCUAAAAUAUUACUUUUCAAAAGAUGUGAUAACUGCGAAAGUUUUAAAAACUACAUGAGUUUUCAGCGUUGCAUUUCUGUUUAAAGGUGGCGAUUUGCAUCAUGCUGAGCUGGUCACUAUUUUCAUAGUUUUCAUGGGCCAGCAUUUUACUUUCAAAUAAUUUUACAAGGGAACUGCUUGUGUCACACGCAUAUAGCAAACGCCUACAAGCAAGAAAUAAUUUGGUGUGUGUUUCUCCAAUAAAAUUUUAUUUUUGACCAUAAUUAUGCCUCGUGGCUGUAAGUAAGAUGUUUUUAAUAUUGUUCUCAUGUCAGACUUUCUAUUGAGACUUUGACUAAUCGAUCUCACUUAAGGUGAUAAAGAUAGGAGGUGAAAGGAAGGUUAGAUACCAUUAGUGAGACACCUUGGGGGAUUUCCCUCUCUGCCCUCCCGGUUACAGCAGAAAGAAAAAAAUUCUUUCACUUAUCUUGAAAAGCUGUCAAGCUAUUAUGAGCAUUAGAAUACCAUAAAAUCUCCUGCAAGCCAUUUGGUUUAAUUUUUUUCUUCUUAAUUUUUCAUUUUUUCCUUAUUUUUUAACUUGAAAGGUAAACUUGUGUAGUUAGACUGAAAGGAUACUGGAAAAGGAGAAGCCUGCUGUAGGAAGUUUUUAUGGUGUGUUAAUUACAAAGUUGUUUGUUUAAGAA
rnacentral:misc_RNA from 1 species